AAGGUAUUGCUGCUGGCUGAAGUUUGCCCUCAGCAUAAUAUUGUAAAGCAGCCAAGUUACCCUGAUCAUCUCCUGGGCUAACAUUCAUAGCUUAUCAGGGUCUCAUUAGGCCUUUUAUCUGAAUAAGCUUAAAAUUCUCAACAAACUUGUCCUAUAGAUAUGCUGUUUCAGGGUAAAAUAAAGUCCAUUGAAAUGAGUUUGUCACCGUAAUUGUAUUAGCACCUUUUAAGUGGCCACAUGUAUUUGGAAUGAUUCCAUAAGGAGAAGAAAUAGAUUGACAGAAUUAUGCAUGGGAUUUGCUCGGCUCUAGUUCAAAGCAAUGGAAGAGAUUUCAGAGGGAAACAUAUACUUGUCAAUUGUAAAGAAAUAGGACUAAAUUUUCUUCAACAGGAGAGAAAAUAUCCAAAUAAACCAUAGGUUGUAGAUCCAUGAGGAAAAGGCACAAAAAUAUUCUCUGUUUGAAAAUCGUACAUCUUUCUCACAUAAAAAGAAAUUACCAGCAUUACAGGCAAACUGUGUUGGAGAGUAAAAUCACUUAAGAUUUACUAGUUAUUCUCCCUUAUUCUUAAAAAUUAUCAUCUUCCAGGGAUAAUUUGCUUAAGCAUUUCUCUAUUUUUUCCCCUAGAAUGACGGCAUCUGCGAGGGUAGAGGGGCUGGGAAGUGGGGAAGUAAUUGAUUAGAGUCCAAAGGAGUCUGUAAUUUACUCCUAUGGUUUGAUGGAAACCAGGCCAUAUGCAUGUGGUGGAUUAUUUUUCUUGACUUUCUUUCAAAAUUUUGUGCUGAAAAGACGAUUAUUAUAUUUUUUUCUUCCCUGGGCACGAGGUGCAGGAAUGGGGAGAAUGGACAUGGAAAUCAUGAAACUUAAUCAUGAGUCUUCUAGGCAAAAACCAACUAAGUCUCUUAACUGUGAAUUAAAGAUCAAAGCCAGGAACACCUUUAAAUAGCACAGGUUGAGGGAGCUGGGUGACUGGGUGGUCUCCAGUGUCGCUGAGGGGGAAGCAAAAGAAAAUGGAUCUCAACCGUAGGGGAAGGGAAUCGGGUUAUCCACGAGGAAAGCUCCCACUCUACAGAAACAUCUCCUUCCAGAAAAGUUUGAAGAAUUAAUUUUCUAUUUGGAGGGAGGGUAGUAAAUGUAGUUGCCUAGAGAUGAAUGCAUGCAUCAUCUUUCUGUUCCACAGUUUUUCACAAUGAGCAGCC
rnacentral:lncRNA from 1 species